rnacentral:rRNA from 2 species
UAUAGCAUUAUACAGCGAAACUGCGAAUGGCUCAUUAAAUCAGUUAUCGUUUAUUUGAUAGUGCCUGUCCUACUUGGAUAACCGUGGUAAUUCUAGAGCUAAUACAUGCUAAAAAUCCCGACUUCGGAAGGGAUGCAUUUAUUGGAUACAGAACCAACGCCCUCCGGGGCUUUCUGGUGAAUCACAAUAACUCCGCGGAUCGCACGGCCUUGCGCCGGCGAUGGUUCAUUCAAAUUUCUGCCCUAUCAACUUUCGACGGCUGGGUCUUGGCCAGCCGUGGUGACAACGGGUAACGGAGGGUUAGGGCUUGACCCCGGAGAAGGAGCCUGAGAGACGGCUACUACAUCCAAGGAAGGCAGCAGGCGCGCAAAUUACCCAAUCCCGACACGGGGAGGUAGUGACAAUAAAUACUGAUCCAGGGCUCUUUUGGGUCUUGGAAUUGGAAUGAGUACAAUUUAAAUCCCUUAACGAGGAACAAUUGGAGGGCAAGUCUGGUGCCAGCAGCCGCGGUAAUUCCAGCUCCAAUAGCGUAUAUUAAAGUUGUUGAGGUUAAAAAGCUCGUAGUUGAACCUUGGCCCUGGCUGGCCGGUCCGCCUCACCGCGAGCACUGGUCCGGCCGGGGCUUUCCCUCUGGGGAUCCUCAUGCCCUUCACUGGGUGUGCUGGGGAACCAGGACUUUUACUGUGAACAAAUCAGAUCGCUCAAAGAAGGCUCUCGCUCGAAUGCUUCAGCAUGGAAUAAUGAAAUAGGACGCGUGGUUCUAUUUUGUUGGUUUCUAGGACCGCCGUAAUGAUUAAUAGGGACAGUCGGGGGCGUCAGUAUUCAAUCGUCAGAGGUGAAAUUCUUGGACCGAUUGAAGACUAACUACUGCGAAAGCAUUCGCCAAGGAUGUUUUCAUUAAUCAGGAACGAAAGUUAGGGGAUCGAAGACGAUCAGAUACCGUCGUAGUCUUAACCAUAAACUAUGCCGAUUAGGGAUCGGACGAUGUUAUUUUUUGACUCGUUCGGCACCUUACGAUAAAUCAAAAUUCUUGGGCUC